GGGUUGUGAGGUUAAGCGACUAAGCGUACACGGUGGAUGCCCUGGCAGUCAGAGGCGAUGAAGGACGUGCUAAUCUGCGAUAAGCGUCGGUAAGGUGAUAUGAACCGUUAUAACCGGCGAUUUCCGAAUGGGGAAACCCAGUGUGAUUCGUCACACUAUCAUUAACUGAAUCCAUAGGUUAAUGAGGCGAACCGGGGGAACUGAAACAUCUAAGUACCCCGAGGAAAAGAAAUCAACCGAGAUUCCCCCAGUAGCGGCGAGCGAACGGGGAGGAGCCCAGAGCCUGAAUCAGUGUGUGUGUUAGUGGAAGCGUCUGGAAAGGCGCGCGAUACAGGGUGACAGCCCCGUACACAAAAAUGCACAUACUGUGAGCUCGAUGAGUAGGGCGGGACACGUGGUA
rnacentral:rRNA from 1 species